rnacentral:rRNA from 1 species
UACGUAGGCUGCGAGCGUUAUCCGGAAUUACUGGGCGUAAAGAGAUGCGUAGGCGUCCAAAUUAGUCUUUGAUUAAAGGCAAAAGCUCAACUUUUGUAAGGUUAAAGAUACGGUUUGGAUUGAGAUAGGCAGGGGAAGAUGGAACUUCUGGUGGAGUAGUGAAAUGCGUUGAUAUCAGAAGGAACACCAAAGGCGAAGGCAAUCUUCUGGGCCUUUUCUGACGCUAAGGCUCGAAAGCGUGGGGAGCAAAACGG